rnacentral:rRNA from 1 species
UACGAAGGGGGCUAGCGUUGCUCGGAAUCACUGGGCGUAAAGGGUGCGUAGGCGGGUCUUUAAGUCAGGGGUGAAAUCCUGGAGCUCAACUCCAGAACUGCCUUUGAUACUGAGGAUCUUGAGUUCGGGAGAGGUGAGUGGAACUGCGAGUGUAGAGGUGAAAUUCGUAGAUAUUCGCAAGAACACCAGUGGCGAAGGCGGCUCACUGGCCCGAUACUGACGCUGAGGUGCGAAAAGCGUGGGGGAGCCAAACAGG